GAAGUGAGUGGCGAACGGGUGAGUAACACGUGGGUAACCUGCCCAGAAGUAGGGGAUAACACCUGGAAACAGAUGCUAAUACCGUAUAACAGAGAAAACCGCAUGGUUUUCUUUUAAAAGAUGGCUCUGCUAUCACUUCUGGAUGGACCCGCGGCGUAUUAGCUAGUUGGUGAGGUAAAGGCUCACCAAGGCAGUGAUACGUAGCCGACCUGAGAGGGUAAUCGGCCACAUUGGGACUGAGACACGGCCCAGACUCCUACGGGAGGCAGCAGUAGGGAAUCUUCCACAAUGGACGCAAGUCUGAUGGAGCAACGCCGCGUGAGUGAAGAAGGGUUUCGGCUCGUAAAGCUCUGUUGUUAAAGAAGAACGUGGGUAAGAGUAACU
rnacentral:rRNA from 1 species